UCUUAACUCUUAUGCUUUAAGUGCCUCAAGCAUGUCUUCUCUAGGCUCUUGGGUCAUCGACUCAGGAGCUACUGACCACAUGACUCAUAGCCCAAUCAGAUUUAGAACAUACAACCCAUGUCCUAGAAAUAGAAAAGUUACUGUUGCUGAUGAAUCUCCUGUAACUGUUGUAGGCCAAGGAAUAGAUUUGAUUACUGGGAGGACGAUUGGACUUGCUAAGGUGAAAGAUAGCUUUAUUACCUUGAGGAAAUGAGUGGCAACAAGGAGAACAAGAAUCAAUCAUCCCUCAUAUGCUCUUCAAGUAAACAUGUCUCGUAAUAAAUAUGAAAUUUGGCUUUAUCAUUUUUGUUUUGGUCAUCCAUCUUUUAUUCUACUUAAAAGCAUGUUUCCUUCACUUUUUAAAAAUGAAGAUGUUAGUAAUUUUCAUUGUGAUACAUGUGAAAUUGCUAAACAUCACAGAUUUUCAUUUCCAUUGAGUAAUAUAAGAUCUACUAGACCUUUCUCCUUGAUGUAUACCAAUAUUUGGAGGCCUUGUAGAGUUUUUAGUAUUUCUGGAGCAAAAUGGUUUGUCACAUUCAUUGAUGAUUGUACUAGAACUACAUGGUUGUUUCUUAUGAAAGAAAAAUUAGAAGUACACAGUAUUUUUCCAAUGUUUCAUAAAAUGAUUUACACAAAAUUUGAAAAUUUGAUUAAAAAAGUAAGAUCUGACAAUGCAACAGACUACUUCAAUUAAGUUCUCUCAUCCUUUUUCCAAAAAGAGGGUAUAAUACACGAGUCAUCUUAUAUAGAAACACCCCAACAAAAUGGGAUUGCUGAACGAAAAAAUAGACAUUUACUCAAUGUGACACGAGUAAUUUUGAUUCAACAGUUCCAAAAACCUUUUUGGGGGAGGCUGUUUUAACUGCUACACAUUUGAUAAAUAGAGUACCUUCCAAAGUGCUAAAUAAUCAGAGUCUCGCUGCUGCUCUUUCUGUUUUUUACCCUAAUUUUAAUGUCUCUUGCAAACUGUCCCAAAUGUGUUUGGUUGUGUUGCUUUUGUACAUGUUCAUGCACACUAAAGAGGGAAACUUGAUCUAAGAGCUUUAAAAUGUAUUUUUGUGGGAUACUCAAACGCAAAGAAAGGAUACAAGUGUUAUCAUCCACCUUUAAUUUUUUUUUUUUACCUCUACGGAUGUCACAUUUGUUGAAAAUGAGCCUUACUUUCAAAGUAGCAAUCCUCAUCUCCAAGGGGAGAGUUCUUAGGAAAAUAAGGAAUUUCUCCUUGAUUUUCAAAGUCCCACAUCCAACUUGAAGUCUUUCAAACUUGAUGAUACACUUAACUCCAAAGGAGAAUAUGCCAACAGUGAACCUGAACCUAAAUUUGAAUUUGAAGAUGAACAUGCUAGUAAAGAAAUUGAACCUGAUCUUAGAGCUGAGGGAAAAACUGGUUUAAAUCCUACUACACCACUCAAGGUCUACUCAAGGAAGAAAGUUCAUAUUUAUGAACCUGUGCAAGUCCAAGAAUCUGAACCAGAAUCAGGUAUUGAAAAUUUUGCUCCUUUGUGUGUUCAAUCUAACUCUAUUCCUUCAGAAGGCCCCGCGUCAUUCCUACCCGGUCCUUGGUUUACGUUCGCUUUAGAGCAGGAUGAUUCCAAAGUAGAUGCUCUCGGCCGCCCCUGACCUAAUAAGAACGAUUAUCCUUAUGACCAAACAAGGACCAGCUUACUUCUCAAGCGAGAGUUCCACGAUCUCGACCAGCAACUUGUUGAGAGUAAGGGCAUCCAAGCUUGCCCAACCUAGUCAAGGGGGUCGGUGGCAGGUGGGACAUAGACGAUAGAGGUAGUCUCUGCUGUCUCUUUAGUCUGAUCCAACUUCAAAGAAAUUAGAACUGAUGGGGUCACAAGGCAUUAAAAGAUCGGUUCUGAAAGAAUUGCUCAGAGGAGUUAUCAACCUCAGAAUCAUUCCUAUUUUGGAAAACCACACGGAAAGAAAGAUAGGAGAAAGUGACUGCGCUGGAAGAGAUUGAGGGGCAAGUGCCCAUGUCUCUCAGGAAGAUGCAAGUAAGGCAAUUCCUCUAGGAUCAUGAACUAGCAAUGAGAAGCUGACGAUCAUAAGUUGCUGGUGCAGCCAAUGAGUCAGUCAACGGAGCUAAUGUUCAAAAGUUGCAAGGAAAGCCUUGUCCCCAAUGGUUAGGAAAGCUGGUAGAGCUCACGAUCAAGGAUUUGCCGGCGAAGCCAUGUCAAGAGCUUUUAAUGGAGCCAUCAUGCCCUAACUACGAAAUAGAGGAGCAUGCCCGCCUAUGGAAUCAUAUCAAUUUCUAAAGAGAUUCUGGAAAGCCAAGACAUGCACGCGGGUGGGAGGAAUCGAACUGAUUGAUAUCAAAUCGGGCUCACAGCAAAUCCAAGGGCAAACCCUUCCUAUUGCACAAGCCUAUCCAAUAACAGCCAGGUAUCAAUCAGCUUUCAAGCCAUCGAGUUUCAAUCUUAAGCUAAGCCCCCUGUCUUUUAUGAAAAAUUCUUAGCUGAUCUAGUUCAAUUGGUAAGCUAGGGAUUGCUGGUUCUAUGUCCAAAGCUAGCUCUAGGAGAAUUUCUGAACCUAUUUUCUAUGGCUUAAGGAAGGGCAGCAAGCACUAGCAAGGAAGUGGAAGGAGAGACUUUCUUUGUUUUUUAAACUAACUUAACAUUUCCAAAGCGUGGAUUUUUUAAUAUAAGGCGCGUUAGCGCUUUCGUUUUCAAUAAGGACAUUUAGGCUUUACUAAAGGGCUUUUUUCUCAGUGUGCGCAGCCCUAUACAAAGGGCGUUUCCUUUCAAAUGACAACUGCCUCUUCCUGCUGCGAGGGCGUUGCACGAAACCAAACCGCCCCCCACCUGAUCAAGUACCAGUUGCUUCGCUGGUAGGCCUAUUUAGGUUAGGGGGCAUUAUCCCUCAGUUCUUACCCCCAGGUUGCAGGUAGCCCAAAAGCUUCGAUUUGUCAAAGCUGCGCUAAAAGAUGUCCGGGACGGAUGCGACUUCUUCUAACGCUAGAAGACCACAAGAAUAUACCCGGGACCAGAGCAUGUCGUGAAAGAAGCACACUGGGCGGGCGUGCUUCGACUGUGUCUCCGGGGCACAGUUGAAUGUAGAUAUCAUAAACACGAGGUGCAGGAUACCAGGCCGAGAAAAGGAACACGAGAAUGCACUAAGCAUCCAAUCUCAAAUUUUAUGUCCUUCCAUAGACUCUUUCCACAACAUAGAACUUUUCUUACCACCAUCAACUCCAUUUCAAUCCCACAAACACUACAAGAGGCACUUAGAAAUAAGAACUGGUUACAAGCUAUGAAAGAGGAGAUGAAUGCCCUAGAAAGAAAUAAGACUUGGGAAAUUGUAAACCUGCCUAAAAGAAAGAAAACUGUGGGGUGUAAGUGGGUGUUUACUUUGAAAUAUAAAGCCGAUGAUUCAUUAGAAAGGCAUAAAGCUCGAUUGGUCGCAAAAGGAUAUACACAGACAUAUGGGGUAGAUUACCAAGAGACCUUUGCACCCGUAGCAAAAAUGAAUAUUGUGCCUGUUCUUUUGUCUUUAGCUGCUAACUUUGGUUGGUGUUUACAUUAAUUUGAUGUUAAGAAUGCGCUCUUACAUAGGGACUUAGAAGAAGAGAUGUACAUGGAACCUCCACUGGGUUUUAAUGAAAUGUCUAUUGAAAAGAAAGUGUGCAGGUUAAGAAAAGCUUUAUAUGGAUUAAAACAAUCACCAAUGGCUUGGUUCAGAAGAUUUACUAAAAUGAUGCUAGCAAUGCAGUACAAACAAAGUCAAGGAAAUCAUACCUUGUUCAUAAAACAUUCAAAAGGAGUUAUAGCUCUGCUUAUGUAUGUAGAUGACAUCAUCAUCACCGGGAAUGAUCAAAUUGAAAGAGAAACACUAAAAAAGUGCUUAGCAAAGGAGUUCAAAAUUAAAGAACAUGGGAGGCUGAAGUAUUUUUUUGGGAAUUGAGGUGACAUACUCAAGUAAAGGCAUCCUUAUUUCCCAACAAAAGUAUGUCUUAGACUUGCUUAAAGAAACAGACAAUCUUAGAUGCAAGGCAGCAAACACACCCAUUGAGCCUAACUUGACAUUGAGUGAAGAAAAGGACGAUAAGUAAGGGAAGAUAUUAGUGGUUGGUUGGAAAACUAAUAUACUUAUCCCAUACAAGGCUGGACAAUAGCAUUUGCUGUAAAUAUAGUAAGCCAAUUUAUGCAUAAUCUAAAAGAGAAACAUUUGCAGGUUGUCAACAAAAUUUUGUCCUAUCUCAAAAGGACAUCGGGUAGAGGAAUUUUGUUCAAGAAAAAUGAAGAAUUACUCAUUAAGGCAUAUAUCGAUGCUGAUUAUACAAGUUUUGUUGUAGAUCGUAGAUCAACUUUAGGAUAUUGUACAUUCCUUGGUGGGAACCUAGUGACAUGGAGGAGUAAGAAACAAUCGGUUGUUACAAGAUCAAGUGUUGAAGCAGAGUUUAGGAUUAUGGCUCAUGGAGUUUGUGAAUUGCUAUGACUCAAAAUAAUACUUGAUGACCUUAAAAUCAAGUGGGAAGGACCUAUGAAACUCUAUUGCAAUAACAAGUUUGCCAUCAACAUUGCACAUAAUCUAGUGCAACAUGAUCGCACAAAACACAUCAAAGUAGACAGACACUUUAUUAAAAAAAAGCUGGACAAUGACAUUAUUUGCACUCUAUAUACAACAUCAAAUGAUCAAUUGGCAGAUGUCUUAACUAAGGGAAUGCCUACUUCCAACUUUGAAGACAUUACAUACAAGAUGGGAAUGAAAAAUAUCUAUUGACCAUUUUGAGGAAGAGUGUUGAAAAUCUAAAAUAUUUUUCCUGUACAGUUAUAAAAUCUAUGUAUAUCCCAUGAUUUCUGCUUUAUUUUAGGUUAGAAUAAUUUACUUCUAAUGUAUUUUAGGAUAGAAUAAAUUAACUCCUAAUUUUUGGGAGUUUACAGAUUUUAUAGAAUUGACAAAAUUCAACUUCCAUUUGUAUAAAUAUUGCACAGCCUGGGCCUAGAAUAAUAUAUAACAAAAGCAAUUCAGUUCU